UCUGUUAUUAGGGAAGAACAUAUGUGUAAGUAACUGUGCACAUCUUGACGGUACCUAAUCAGAAAGCCACGGCUAACUACGUGCCAGCAGCCGCGGUAAUACGUAGGUGGCAAGCGUUAUCCGGAAUUAUUGGGCGUAAAGCGCGCGUAGGCGGUUUUUUAAGUCUGAUGUGAAAGCCCACGGCUCAACCGUGGAGGGUCAUUGGAAACUGGAAAACUUGAGUGCAGAAGAGGAAAGUGGAAUUCCAUGUGUAGCGGUGAAAUGCGCAGAGAUAUGGAGGAACACCAGUGGCGAAGGCGACUUUCUGGUCUGUAACUGACGCUGAUGUGCGAAAGCGUGGGGAUCAAACAGGAUUAGAUACCCUGGUAGUCCACGCCGUAAACGAUGAGUGCUAAGUGUUAGGGGGUUUCCGCCCCUUAGUGCUGCAGCUAACGCAUUAAGCACUCCGCCUGGGGAGUACGACCGCAAGGUUGAAACUCAAAGGAAUUGACGGGGACCCG
rnacentral:rRNA from 1 species